rnacentral:ncRNA from 2 species
CUCGUUGGAACGGGAGAAGGGCAGCCGCCCUGCCGAAGGAGCAACCGCCCCGGAAACUCUCAGGCCCAAGGACCGAUCCGACACG